rnacentral:rRNA from 1 species
UGGGGAAUUUUGGACAGUGGGCGAAAGCCUGAUCCAGCAAUGCCGCGUGCAGGAUGAAGGCCUUCGGGUUGUAAACUGCUUUUGUACGGAACGAAACGGUCCUUUCUAAUACAAGGGGCUAAUGACGGUACCGUAAGAAUAAGCACCGGCUAACUACGUGCCAGCAGCCGCGGUAAUACGUAGGGUGCGAGCGUUAAUCGGAAUUACUGGGCGUAAAGCGUGCGCAGGCGGUUUUGUAAGACAGAUGUGAAAUCCCCGGGCUCAACCUGGGACCUGCAUUUGUGACUGCAAGGCUAGAGUACGGUAGAGGGGGAUGGAAUUCCGCGUGUAGCAGUGAAAUGCGUAGAUAUGCGGAGGAACACCGAUGGCGAAGGCAAUCCCCUGGACCUGUACUGACGCUCAUGCACGAAAGCGUGGGGAGCAAACAGGAUUAGAUACCCUGGUAGUCCACGCCCUAAACGAUGUCAACUGGUUGUUGGGUCUUCACUGACUCAGUAACGAAGCUAACGCGUGAAGUUGACCGCCUGGGGAGUACGGCCGCAAGGUUG